rnacentral:rRNA from 1 species
CAGGAUGUUGGCUUAGAAGCAGCCAUCAUUUAAAGAAAGCGUAAUAGCUCACUGGUCGAGUCGGCCUGCGCGGAAGAUGUAACGGGGCUAAACCAUGCACCGAAGCUGCGGCAGCGACGCUUAUGCGUUGUUGGGUAGGGGAGCGUUCUGUAAGCCUGUGAAGGUGUGCUGUGAGGUAUGCUGGAGGUAUCAGAAGUGCGAAUGCUGACAUAAGUAACGAUAAAGCGGGUGAAAAGCCCGCUCGCCGGAAGACCAAGGGUUCCUGUCCAACGUUAAUCGGGGCAGGGUGAGUCGACCCCUAAGGCGAGGCCGAAAGGCGUAGUCGAUGGGAAACAGGUUAAUAUUCCUGUACUUGGUGUUACUGCGAAGGGGGGACGGAGAAGGCUAUGUUGGCCGGGCGACGGUUGUCCCGGUUUAAGCGUGUAGGCUGGUUUUCCAGGCAAAUCCGGAAAAUCAAGGCCGAGGCGUGAUGACGAGGCACUACGGUGCUGAAGCAACAAAUGCCCUGCUUCCAGGAAAAGCCUCUAAGCAUCAGGUAACAUCAAAUCGUACCCCAAACCGACACAGGUGGUCAGGUAGAGAAUACCAAGGCGCUUGAGAGAACUCGGGUGAAGGAACUAGGCAAAAUGGUGCCGUAACUUCGGGAGAAGGCACGCUGAUACGUAGGUGAAGCGACUUGCUCGUGGAGCUGAAAUCAGUCGAAGAUACCAGCUGGCUGCAACUGUUUAUUAAAAACACAGCACUGUGCAAACACGAAAGUGGACGUAUACGGUGUGACGCCUGCCCGGUGCCGGAAGGUUAAUUGAUGGGGUUAGCGCAAGCGAAGCUCUUGAUCGAAGCCCCGGUAAACGGCGGCCGUAACUAUAACGGUCCUAAGGUAGCGAAAUUCCUUGUCGGGUAAGUUCCGACCUGCACGAAUGGCGUAAUGAUGGCCAGGCUGUCUCCACCCGAGACUCAGUGAAAUUGAACUCGCUGUGAAGAUGCAGUGUACCCGCGGCAAGACGGAAAGACCCCGUGAACCUUUACUAUAGCUUGACACUGAACAUUGAGCCUUGAUGUGUAGGAUAGGUGGGAGGCUUUGAAGUGUGGACGCCAGUCUGCAUGGAGCCGACCUUGAAAUACCACCCUUUAAUGUUUGAUGUUCUAACGUGGACCCGUGAUCCGGGUUGCGGACAGUGUCUGGUGGGUAGUUUGACUGGGGCGGUCUCCUCCUAAAGAGUAACGGAGGAGCACGAAGGUUGGCUAAUCCUGGUCGGACAUCAGGAGGUUAGUGCAAUGGCAUAAGCCAGCUUGACUGCGAGCGUGACGGCGCGAGCAGGUGCGAAAGCAGGUCAUAGUGAUCCGGUGGUUCUGAAUGGAAGGGCCAUCGCUCAACGGAUAAAAGGUACUCCGGGGAUAACAGGCUGAUACCGCCCAAGAGUUCAUAUCGACGGCGGUGUUUGGCACCUCGAUGUCGGCUCAUCACAUCCUGGGGCUGAAGUAGGUCCCAAGGGUAUGGCUGUUCGCCAUUUAAAGUGGUACGCGAGCUGGGUUUAGAACGUCGUGAGACAGUUCGGUCCCUAUCUGCCGUGGGCGCUGGAGAACUGAGGGGGGCUGCUCCUAGUACGAGAGGACCGGAGUGGACGCAUCACUGG